UCCGGGUUGGACCCGGCGGUCCCGCCAGACAUCGUAACUGGCGGCGAGGGUUGCGCUCGUUGCGGGACUUAACCCAACACCUCACGGCACGAGCUGACGACAGCCGUGCAGCAUCUGUGCAGGCUCCCUUGCGGGGCACCUGUCUCCAGAUGUUUCCGGUAUAUGUCAAACCCAGGUAAGGUUCUUCGCGUUGCAUCGAAUUAAACCACAUGCUCCACCGCUUGUGCGGGCCCCCGUCAAUUCCUUUGAGUUUCAGUCUUGCGACCGUACUCCCCAGGCGGAGUGCUUAAUGUGUUGACUUCGGCACAGCAGGGGUCGAUACCCGCUACACCAAGCACUCAUCGUUUACGGCGUGGACUAC
rnacentral:misc_RNA from 1 species